GUGGGGAAUCUUGCGCAAUGGGCGAAAGCCUGACGCAGCCAUGCCGCGUGAAUGAUGAAGAUCUUAGGAUUGUAAAAUUCUUUCACCGGGGACGAUAAUGACGGUACCCGGAGAAGAAGCUCCGGCUAACUUCGUGCCAGCAGCCGCGGUAAUACGAAGGGGGCUAGCGUUGCUCGGAAUUACUGGGCGUACAGGGCGCGUAGGCGGACAGCUUAGUCAGAGGUGAAAGCCCAGGGCUCAACCUUGGAAUUGCCUUUGAUACUGGCUGUCUUGAGUUUGGGAGAGGUGAGUGGAACUCCGAGUGUAGAGGUGAAAUUCGUAGAUAUUCGGAAGAACACCAGUGGCGAAGGCGACUCACUGGCCCAAUACUGACGCUGAGGCGCGAAAGCGUGGGGAGCAAACAGGAUUAGAUACCCGGGUAGUCC
rnacentral:rRNA from 1 species